GUUAUUAUUGAGGUUUAUUUUGAUAAUUAUAAUAUAUUGGGUUAUUAUUAUGAGUGAGGAUUGUGGAUUUUCUGUAUGUUAGGAGUACUGUUGAGGAAUUAAGUUUAUUUGUUUAUAAUAUUAGGUUAUUUAGUACCUUUUGUAUUAGGGUUUUUUAAUGUAAGUAAAUAUAAAUUUUUUCUCGAUGAAUAUCGGGCUAUUAUUUUAGGUGUUAUUUUUGUUGAAUAAAAUUAAUUAUAGAUUAAUAGUUAUGAAAUAUUAUUCAAGUUAUUUUUUAUCUAGUUUUCUAAGAAAUAUAAUUUAAGGUAUUGAUAUUAUUAAGAUAUGUUGGGAUUAGCUAGCUUAUUUUUUAUAUGUUGAAUUGAUUUUGUUUUAUUUGUGAAGUUAAAAGUUCUUAAUUAUAUGAUGUUAUUAUAAAUUAGGUUGGUGUUUUUAUUAUUUUUUGAUAUUAUGUUGAAAUUAGGAAUUUUGGUGUAAUUUGAAUUUGAGGAUAUAAUGAUAAAAUUAGUAAAAUAUUAAUAUAUGAUUUUAGUUGUAUAGAUUUUUUUGAUAAUAUGAGUAGAAUUAAUUAAUAUUGGGGAAUUCGGCAAAGUUGGCUUUUGACUGUUUAGCAAAAACAUUGUUUUUUGUUGGGAUGAAAAGUAAGGUCUGCCCACUGCUUAUUGGUGAAGGGCUGCAGUAUUUUGACUGUAUGAAGGUAGCAUAAUCAUUAGUUUUUUAAUUGGAAGCUGGUAUGAAGGUGAAACAGGGGCUUGCUAUCUUGAUAUUAUUUAAUGAAUUUUAUUUUUGUGUGAAAAAUCAUAAUUAGAUUAAAGGGACAAGAAGACCCUAGUAAGUUUUAUUUUUUGUUGUAAGGGGUAUGUAGUUUGUUAAAUUAAUAUGAUUUAUGAUUUAAGGGUUUGACUGGGGCGGUAUAUAAUUAAACGUUAUUUAAUUUUUAAUUUUUGUGAGCGGAAAUUUGACCUAAGUUGGUUAGUUAAAGGUUAAAUUACUGUAGGGAUAACAGCGUGAUUUUUUUUGAGAGUUCUUAUUGACAGGAAA
rnacentral:rRNA from 1 species